AUUGAACGCUGGCGGCAUGCUUUACACAUGCAAGUCGGACGGCAGCGCGGGCUUCGGCCUGGCGGCGAGUGGCGAACGGGUGAGUAAUACAUCGGAACGUGCCCAGUAGUGGGGGAUAGCACGGCGAAAGCCGGAUUAAUACCGCAUACGACCUGAGGGUGAAAGCGGGGGACUUUAGGGCCUCGCGCUAUUGGAGCGGCCGAUGGCAGAUUAGCUAGUUGGUGUGGUAAAGGCCUACCAAGGCGACGAUCUGUAGCUGGUCUGAGAGGACGACCAGCCACACUGGGACUGAGACACGGCCCAGACUCCUACGGGAGGCAGCAGUGGGGAAUUUUGGACAAUGGGCGCAAGCCUGAUCCAGCAAUGCCGCGUGUGUGAUGAAGGCCUUCGGGUUGUAAAGCACUUUUGGCAGGAACGAAAAGUGCCGUGCUAAUACCACGGUACGAUGACGGUACCUGCAGAAUAAGCACCGGCUAACUACGUG
rnacentral:rRNA from 1 species